rnacentral:tRNA from 1 species
GGGGUUGUGGUUCAGCAGUAGAACGCUCACCUCACAUGUGUGAGACCCUGGGUUCAAUCCUCAGCACCA